GUUUUGCGAGUUGAGAUUUGCUUUCCAUCCAGUUAAUUAUUGAUACAUCAUUUUUUAAUUAACAUGUCAUCUCAAAUUUACUUUCAUUAACUUCAUCACUAAUCUAUCAAAUUGAUUACAUGUUAACUUAAAUGAUGUGUCAAUAAUAAAUUAGGUGGACGGCAGAUCUCAACUCAUUUCGAGGGGCAUUCAAAUGCCGUAGCAUGGCAGGAACAGAUUGCCCUGCAUACAAGGAAAUGGUUCGGGGAAACUGACCUGAGUGCAAGGCUGCACAUACAGUUUAGGUCCAAAUCAUGAAGAACGAAGUGUUCUUCAGUCAUAUAAUGGUCAACAUUCUUUGGAACUCCAGUAAAAGUCUAAUCAGCUAUAGGGUUGAUAAAAUUAAUUGAUAGUAUCAUGAAGAGAUACUGUGUUCAAGUAUAUAGUUCAAAAAAAGCAGGACCCUGUUCUGACUGCCGGGCCAAUCAAAAAAUCCAACAUAUGAAGCAUGAGAG
rnacentral:lncRNA from 1 species